rnacentral:rRNA from 1 species
UACGUAGGGCGCAAGCGUUAUCCGGAAUUAUUGGGCGUAAAGAGCUCGUAGGCGGUUUGUCGCGUCUGCCGUGAAAGUCCGGGGCUCAACUCCGGAUCUGCGGUGGGUACGGGCAGACUAGAGUGAUGUAGGGGAGACUGGAAUUCCUGGUGUAGCGGUGAAAUGCGCAGAUAUCAGGAAGAACACCCGUGGCGAAGGCGGCUCUCUGGGACGGUACUGACGCUGAGACGCGAAAGCUAGGGGAGCGAACGGG